rnacentral:rRNA from 1 species
CAAAAGCUCAAAUUUGAAAUCUAGCACCUUCGGUGUUCGAGUUGUAAUUUGAAGAUGGUAACCUUGGGUUUGGCUCUUGUCUAUGUUCCUUGGAACAGGACGUCAUAGAGGGUGAGAAUCCCGUCUGAUGAGAUGCCCAUUCCUAUGUAAGGUGCUAUCGAAGAGUCGAGUUGUUUGGGAAUGCAGCUCUAAGUGGGUGGUAAAUUCCAUCUAAAGCUAAAUAUUGGCGAGAGACCGAUAGCGAACAAGUACAGUGAUGGAAAGAUGAAAAGAACUUUGAAAAGAGAGUGAAAAAGUACGUGAAAUUGUUGAAAGGGAAGGGCAUUAGAUCAGACUUGGUGUUUUACGAUUAUCUUCUCUUCUUGAGCUGUGCACUCGUAUUUCACUGGGCCAGCAUCGAUUCGGAUGGCAAGAUAAUGGCAGUUGAAUGUGGCUUCACUUCGGUGGAGUGUUAUAGCUUCUGCUGAUAUUGCCUGUCUGGAUCGAGGGCUGCGUCUUUUGACUAGGAUGCUGGCGUAAUGAUCUAAUGCCGCCCG